rnacentral:rRNA from 1 species
UGGGGAAUAUUGCACAAUGGAGGGAACUCUGAUGCAGCGACGCCGCGUGAACGAAGAAGGCUUUCGAGUCGUAAAGUUCUUUUAUAUGGGAAGAUAAUGACGGUACCAUAAGAAAAAGCCCCGGCUAACUACGUGCCAGCAGCCGCGGUAAUACGUAGGGGGCUAACGUUGUCCGGAAUCACUGGGCGUAAAGGGUUCGCAGGCGGAAAUGCAAGUCAGGUGUAAAAGGCAGUAGCUUAACUACUGUAAGCAUUUGAAACUGCAUAUCUUGAGAAGAGUAGAGGUAAGUGGAAUUUUUAGUGUAGCGGUGAAAUGCGUAGAUAUUAAAAAGAAUACCGGUGGCGAAGGCGACUUACUGGGCUCAUUCUGACGCUGAGGAACGAAAGCGUGGGUAGCAAACAGG